rnacentral:rRNA from 1 species
GACGAACGCUGGCGGCGUGCUUAACACAUGCAAGUCGAGCGGUAAGGCCCUUUCGGGGGUACACGAGCGGCGAACGGGUGAGUAACACGUGGGUGACCUGCCCUCAGCUCUGGGAUAAGCCUGGGAAACCGGGUCUAAUACCGGAUAUGACUCCAUGACGCAUGUUGUGGGGUGAAAGCCUUGUGCGGCUGAGGAUGGGCCCGCGGCCUAUCAGCUUGUUGGUGGGGUGAUGGCCUACCAAGGCGACGACGGGUAGCCGGCCUGAGAGGGCGACCGGCCACACUGGGACUGAGACACGGCCCAGACUCCUACGGGAGGCAGCAGUGGGGAAUCUUGCGCAAUGGGCGAAAGCCUGACGCAGCGACGCCGCGUGAGGGAUGACGGCCUGGUGU